rnacentral:lncRNA from 1 species
AAUGCCCCCAGCGAUCCCCUUGCUGCCCUCACGUAUUCUAGCCUAGGUAAGAGGCGGUCGUCAGGCCUCAAGGAGACAGGUCGCAGCUGGGGCGCAUGCCUCUCGACCAUCAAUCCGUUCGGCCGUCGCCCGCAUGCCUCGGCGAACCUGCACCGAGUGUUUGUUUUUGCGGGGAACAGACAAAAGGAUUGAUGGGAGAGGCGGCCUGGUUUCCGCCCCCAGCCAUCCCCCUCGCUGCCCUCGCUCGCACUAAGCCUUGGCCUUGGCUGGAACCAAGGACUCGGUUUAGAGGGGCACAUGCAACUAGGAGACAGGCCGCAGCUGGGUGCGGGGUGCCUCUCUGCCAACAAUCCCCUUGGCUGUCGCUCGCUUGCCUCGGUCAACCAGCACCGAGUAUUCGUUUUUGCGGGCGACGGACAAAUGGAUUGUUGACGAGAGGCUAAUAGGCAUUGUUUACACCCCGAGCCAUCCCCCUCAAGGGAAAUGCCACGGCUGGGGGGGGCGACCGUCUGGACAAUGCCCCAGCGAUCCCCUUGCUGCCCUCACGCAUUCUAGCCUAGGCUAGAGGCGGUCGUCAGACCUCAAGGAGACAGGUCGCAGCUGGGGCGCAUGCCUCUCGACCAUAAAUCCGUUCGGCCGUCGCUCGCAUGCCUCGGCCAACCUGCACCGAGUGUUCGUUUUUGCGGGCAACGUCCAAAAGGAUUGAUGGGAGAGGCGGCCUUGUUUCCGCCCCCAGCCAUCCCCUUGCUGCCCUCGCUCGCACUAAGCCUUGGCCAACCAGCACCAAGGACUCGGUUUAGAGGGGUACAGGCAACAAGGAGACAUGCCGCAGCUGGGCGCGGGGUGCCUCUCUGCCAACAAUCCCCUUGGCUGUCACUCGCUUGCCUCGGUCAACCAGCACCGAGUAUUCGUUUUUGCGGGCGACGGACAAAUGGAUUGUUGACGAGAGGCUAAUAGGCAUUGUUUACAUCCCCAGCCAUCCCCAUCAAGGGAAAUGCCACGGCUGGGGGGGCGACCGUCUGGAUAAUGCCCCCAGUGAUCCCCUUGCUGCCCUCACGCAUUCUAGCCUAGGCUAGAGGCGGUCGUCAGGCCUCAAGGAGACAGGUCGCAGCUGGGGGCAACUUUUCUUGUCGAGCCGACGUCAAGCGCUGCACUCCACCCACGCUCGCCGUCCCCUUGCUGCCAUCGCCCACUAGCCUUGGCCAACCGGCACCUAGGACUCGAUUUAGUUGACUUUGGGCAUGGGGGCAGCCUUAGCCGGGUGGAGGAGCGAAAUCCCAGCUCAAACCACGCAAAAAAUUUGAUUUUCUGAUCAGGCAGAAUUUUUCUGACGAGCCGCGGUCAGGUCGCCCACUAGCCUUGGCUAACAGGCACCAGGGGCUCUAUUUAUGCGACUUCAGGCAAUGGGGCAGCCUUGGCUGGGCGGAGGAGCAAAAUCCCAGCAGAAAAUUUGAUUUUUUUAUCGGGAAAAAUUUUCUGACAUGCCACCACAAGGUCGCUGGAAAAGUACUCCGGCGGCGGCGGUGGUGGGUGGUGGCGCCGGAGUCAAUGUCCACCGGGCAUAAGGUCUCCCCCGCCCCCGAAGGUUUUUCCUCGAUUGGCUUGGCUAGGCCUCCUGGUCACCUUGGGGGGUUUUUGCCUUGCCAAGCCUUGCCAUCUCCCAAACUACCUCCCCCCUAUAUAUACAAACCUACUUUUGCUUGAAAAACAAAAGGGAACAUUGAAUUUUUCCCGCAUAGGAGCAGCUUUUUCCCGCACAGGAGCAGCUUUUCCCGCAUAGGAGCAGAUUUUGCGCCCGAACUUCAUUUUUCUCUCGGACAACCUCAACUUUCCCUCGGACAACUAUUGAUCAAACUCAUUUUUACGCCCUCUAGUACGUCGGAAACCAACCCAGCACACCUUUCAUCGAGCCAAAUUGCCUGAUGUGCGAGGGAGAACCCACCUCCAGGCAGAAAACCCCGGACUUUGGAGGCUGAAGCUGCCCAAUCUCAUUUUUCCUCGGACCACAUGCCUAAUUAUCAUUUUUAUGCCUACUUGUCCGAGGAAAAUCAACCCAGCUGAACUUUUGCUGGAGCCAUAUUGCCCGAUGUGCGGGGGAGCACCCCCACCGCCCGAGGAACUCCGCACUUCUCACGCCCGAUGGCGCACCAGCUCAUUUUUUUCCCGCACAAAGUCAUUUUUCCUCGGAUAAAAACCCCCCAAUCUCAUUUUUCCUCGGACCACAUGCCAAAUUAUCAUUUUUAUGCCUUCUUGUCCGAGGAAAUUCCGCCCAGCUGAACUUUUGCUCGAGCCAUAUUGCCCGAUGUGCGGGGGAGCACCCGCACCGCCCGAGGAACUCCGCACUUCUCACGCCCGAUGGCGCACCAGCUCAUUUUUUUCCCGCACAAAGUCAUUUUCCCUCGGACAAAAACCCACCAAUCUCAUUUUUCCUCGGACCAAAUGCCAAAUUAUCAUUUUUAUGCCUACUUGUCCGAGGAAAAUCCUCCCAGCUGAACUUUUGCUCGAGCCAUAUUGCCCGAUGUGCGGGGGAGCACCCCCACCGCCCGAGGAACUCCGCACUUCUCACGCCCGAUGCCGCACCAGCUCAUUUUUUUCCCGCACAAAGUCAUUUUCCCUCGGACAAAAACCCACCAAUCUAAUUUUUCCUCGGACCGAAUGCCAAAUUAUCAUUUUUAUGCCUACUUGUCCGAAGAAAAUCCUCCCAGCUGAACUUUUGCUCGAGCCAUAUUGCCCGAUGUGCGGGGGAGCACCCCCACCGCCCGAGGAACUCCGGACUUUUCACGCCCGAUGGCGCACCAGCUCAUUUUUUUCCCGCACAAAGUCAUUUUUCCUCGGACAAAAACCCAUAAAUCUCAUUUUUCCUCGGACCAAAUGCCAAAUUAUCAUUUUUAUGCCUACUUGUCCGAGGAUGAUCCUUCCGCAGCUGAACUUUUGCUCGCCCCGAUAACAUUUUUUUGAGAUAUAAUUGUUUCGAGGCAGAGGAUUCUCGUUACGUUGUGCCAUUCGGUUGUUUGACCGACAUUUCAUCCUCAACUGAAGGAUAACUUGGUGUGUUGUUAAACCAAGACACAUGUAGGUGUGUAAGUAGCUUUUGCCUCUUUGAUUUGCAUUGCACUUGCAUCCCUCCGAUGCCCAAAGCCUAAGGGAGGGGCAAAUCUUUGAUUUGCUUUGGACAAGGCAGUUAGGUUGUUGGCAUAACAGUUAUGCAUUUGUUUGGACUUGGGUUCCCCAUUCCAUUCCAAUCGCCUCCAAUGCAACUAAGGCAUUUGCUCGGUUGGACAUGGGCUCUACACUCCCAACUUAUUUCUUGACCGCGGAGAGCGUUCCAUCGGCGGGCCCAGGGUCUUUCUAACCUCACUAACGAAACGUUGGUGUUUUGUAAGGGAGGGAGGGAUGUUUGGGACUUGGUAGAAAUUAAGUUGAAGGGGGGGGGGACGAAUCGGUGCGACAUGGGGCUGAAUCUCAGUGGAUCGUGGCAGCAAGGCCACUCUGCCACUUACAAUACCCCGUCGCGUAUUUAAGUCGUCUGCAAAAGAUUCAGCCUACCGCUCGGUGGGAAUUAUACUUCAUGGCGGCCCACACAGUGCAUCCACCGUGAGGGCUACGCCAAUGCACGUGCCUUUGGGAGUCAAAAGACCCCUACUGCAGGUCGGCAAUCGGGCGGCAGGCGCAUGCGCCGCUUCUCUAGCCUGGAUUUUGACUUAGAGACGUUCAGUCAUAAUCCUGCACACGGUAGCUUCGCGCCACUGGCUUUUCAACCAAUUGUGUGAAUCAACGGUUCCUCUCGUACUAGGUUGAAUUACUAUCGCGGCACUGUCAUCAGUGAGAAACUACAAAUAGUGCUAGUAUAACAAAUGUGAAUUCAAACAAGCAAAUAAACAAUACGCAGAAAGUAAAUAACACACAGAGAUUUUUAACGUGGUAAAACCCAAACAGGGAAACGUCCACGGUUGUCCUCGCGACAACAAAAUAAUCCACUAGAUGAAAAGAGAUGUACAAACCUAUCAACUACCUGCACUCACUGCGAGUUGAUACUCCUGGUUAUCUCUAACACCUUGACUUCACCAGAGCACCUUGAUGUACGCACAAGACACUCGACUUCUUGAUGAACACACAAGAAGACUCGAAGCCGAAUUCACAAUAACUCUUGAAGAUCACAAAGAUAUGAAUUGAGAAAAGGGGGAAGGAAGGGAAUUGAGUUCAAUAGCCACAAACACUUUCAAUAUCAAAAACCUAACCAAAACACAUGAACUAGAAGAAGAAUGGACAGCCAAAGAACUAGCUUGUUCUUUGGAAGAGAAACCCUUUUUAUACUUAGGGUUGGAAACCAAGGAAAAUGGGCCGAAACAGUGCAAACCGACUUUGGACGUUCGUACGUCGAUAUGACGUUCGAACGUCGCCACACAAAAAUAAGCCUGCUGCCUACCAUGACGUACGAACGCUCUAAUUCGGUACGUACGUCUCCAUACGAAAACACGUCUGCUGCCUACUUGGACGUACGAACGUCCUAACUGCGUACGUACGUCCUGACCAAAAGAUGUUUGCUACUUCAGUGGACGUACGUACGUCCUAAUCCGGUACGUACGUCCAGAACCUAAUAACUUUUCCUGGACAGACCUAAGAGACACAAGGACACGAGACGACCAUGCGUACAUCUUGGUUUUCCUAACAAUGAAUUCAAGGCGAGAUAACCAAAGACACUUUGUCACAAAAUUGAUGUCAAACCACUUCGUGCCGGUUUCAAUCUCCCCCUUUGACAUUGAUUUUGUGACAAAAACCUAUGACUCUAAUAGCACUUAUAAAACGUGCUUACAAUCCCAAACCAUGGCAUUUAUAAAACAUGCCUACAAAAUCACUCAAAAUAGAAACACAUAACAAGUCACCAAUUCUUGUUAUCCAGCUUUAGGAAGAUGCUUUAACCAUCAGAGAUCGAACGGAAGCAACUAGAAAUUUCCGAAGCAAUCAAGGAUUCAACAGAAGUUCCUUCGAGCAACUCCCCCAUACUUCAUGAGCUCCAAAAUAUUUUUGACACUCGAACUCCCCCAUAACAAUAUAACGUCUAAAAUCAUCAACACGUUCACUCCCCCAUACGUGUAGCAUACCUGAAACAUGACCCAAAAAUAACCUAACAACAAGAAGACGAUUGUUAGUAAUCAGAGUCAUAAAUCUCCCCCUUUUUGUCACAACAAGUGAGCAAAAUAACCAACCAACAAAGGAAAAGAACAACAAUAAACCAAUAACUAAGAAGAAGAAAUCAAUACCAAACAAAGAAUACAAACCAGAUAAAAAAAUAAACCGAACCCAACUGUUAAAAGUUCAGAAAGUCAACUAAUAACCAAACAGAAAAAUCCAUAAACAUAAAAGACAAAACGACAAAAAUAUAAGGCUUGAGUUAACGAAUUCGAAAAACCCGUUCCCAACGACCUAGAGGAAGCUUGGAGAAGUAAGCUUGCGCACGAGCCGAAGUCUAAUCCACCGAGCGAUCAUAUGAACAUAAAGCUUAAGAUAGGACAUAAAGCUUUCGCACGAGCCGAAUAGCUAUUCAACCGAGUUGGCACAGGACUAUCAGCACUCGUACAAAAUAACUCCCCAAUUCUGCUGUCCAAGCCACAGUCGGUAAGAGGAGCAGCAAGUCCCGGAACCUUCGGAUAACCAACCAACUCCAAGAUGUGAUUUUGAAGAUGUCCCGGUAAUCUCUCCCAAUGAUUGACACGAACCAAACAAGGAUUAAGAAAAGGACGAUGAAUAUAGUCAUAUCCCCCAAUCGUGGCCAACAAACUUUGGAGGGCUCACCCCCAUAUACUGUCCCUGAAAACCCAAGUGCUUGAGUAUAGUCAUUAUAAAGUUAGGGAAAGGAAGAAUACCCUUAGCUGCAUCGAUCUGAAGCAUUCGACUGUAGAUGACCUCAGAGAGAUGAAGAUGGUGCACCGACAUACAGACCACUAAUUUGACCAUGUCGUCGGUCAUGAUAAUCUUGUUGCCCUUGGAGGGGUAGAUGUUGGAGUGGGCAACCAUAUGUAAGAGGAUGGCGCUGUAGUGUUUGGCAUGAUACCUUUCCGUGACACCAUCAAUAAACAUCUGCUGAACCUGAUUCACAAAGUCAAUUUGAAUCGUAUCCGGAACAGGCCAUCUGACAGAAACAGCAUCUUCAGGAAUAAAGUCACCAUCAAUACCCAACGCCUCGCGUAUCACCUUAGGAGAAAUGGUGUAUCGCCGACCCUCAAUCAAGACCGAAAAACUCGAACGAUUCUGCGAGGGUGUCUUUGUCUCAUAGAAGGCUAUCGUAUGCUCAACCGAGUACUUGGUGAUUGGUUGAGCCACCCUUAGCCAAUUCCGAGUCUCAAAGAAGAGGGAUAUGUUGCCAAGUUGAGAAGUCCCAAGAGGAGUAGCAGCGAUGUCUGCCAAGUCAAAGAAUCGCUCAGGAACAAUGGCUUUUGCUCGAGGAUGAGCACCAAGAGAUGUGAAGUGAGGCGACAAGGCCGGAGUGGAACCUCUACCCCUAGGAGCGCGAGAAGAGGAUGCCGCGUUGGAGGGAGUGGUGCGUGCGCGCUUGGAAGCCAUUGUCUACACAAUCACAACAGUAAACAAACCAAUAAUGUAAGAAAAUUGACAAAAUAACCAAAUUCAAGCCCAUAGAGGCAUUUCAUCAAACACUUGAUGUGCAUAAUCUUAAUACAUGGUAUUGACAACAAUGUAGCAAAGGCAAGCAACCAAACACACGGCAAAACAUAACCAAUAGCAGAUACCAUGAACAAAACACUUCCCAAGGUUGUCCACAACAAAAAAAAUGCAAGAUUGAGUAUCGAAACACCAAUUUCCAUUGAUUCAUCAUGUAAACAUACAACCUUAACUGACAAUACUAUAAAGUAUAACCAAGCAAUCAACAAAACAUGACAAUGGAGAAGAAAGGGAGAUCAAUAAAACUUACAAGAGAUGGUGAUUGAGGAUGACGAACAAAUCUCCCGACCAACACACCGGACCAAAACAAUGAGAAGAGAAGAUGAACAAAUUUCAAACAAGACUAGAGAGAAGAGAAUCUCCUAAGACAAUGAGGGAAAACUAACCAAAAACUAACUGCUUGUAGAGUGCCAAGGAGGGAAACACGAUUUAUAUAACAGUUUGCUUUGUGUUAAAAAAAAUUUGGUUUUUAAACAGCAAAUGGGCCGAACUGUAACAGAGACGUUCGUACGUUCUAGGAACAUUCGUACGUCGAGCCCCAAAAACCAAAGAUCUGACUAAGAACACAUUCGUACGUCUUAGGAACGUUCGUACGUUUCAAAAAGAUCUGUCCCCCCAAACAUACGAACGUCAUGAAAGCGUACGUACGUACCCCUUUUUUUUUUUUUUUUUUUUUUUUGAAAAAGAAAGAACCAACCUAACAGCUAGAUAAUAAACCACAUAACCCCAAAAACAAAUAUUGAGAGACAUCACAAGAAAACACUUCUACUUAUCAUACGUAUUCCAAUUACAACCGAAUACAGUUUAAACAACCCUCAACCACAAGAGAAUGCAAAAUCGAAGAGCGACAUUAUACACCAUGACAUGGUAGUUACUAGAAUGAUGCAAGCAUGUAGAAGAACCUGAUAGACCAAUACCAACCUCCGAAAACAAACUAAAGACAUGAUCAUGGAAUACCUUGAAAGUGUUUUGCAAGUAGACACAGAAAAACUGGUAUUCUUCUUGUCUUCCAACUAGACAAGUAUGACAGACACUUAACAUCCGUUUUUUUUUUUUUUUUUUUUUAUUUUUGUUUGUUAAAAAAAAUGUCAUUCCCGUGUGGGAGUAUAAAGUAUCUCCAUCUUUUACCAGAACACGAGGGUAGGGUGUAGCCUACAUCUUUUCAGCAAAAACACACUCAAGAAGUGCAAUACCAUGAUAACGUGCAACACAAGAACUAACAUCUCCUGAGUGCAUCCGUCAGAGCAUGACCCUCACAGCCCCAACGGGUUCUUAGCCAAAUGAGUAUGCUCUCAAGACAUUCAAAUGGCUGGGGAUUUUGUGAGUAAUUGACCACUUACAAGAGGUGAGAAAAUAGAGAAAAUAAAAACAACGAUCAUGAAAAGCAACCAUGGAAAACUGGAGUUAUACAUGUAUUGAAAAUGUCAAGCCAACCACAUUGAAAUGCAUCAUGCAAGAAACUACCAAUACGAAGAGAGUAUAAUGUAACCCUACCACUAUGCAUGACACAAAGACAGUUGAGAGCGCCAAACUAGAAACAUCUGUAAAAUGGAAUCCACACAAUAGAGAAUGUAGUAUGUCCUCAAUACCAACAACAACAAUAAAUGACCAAACCUAAACAUCCUAAACACAGACAGUUCCAAUGAACACAUUAGGCAUAUGAAUGCGGAAGAGGUGUAGUGACAAUGAAGCAGUUAUCAGAUGAGCGACUACCAGAUAACACCAAGAUAUGAUUGGAAUCAAAAACAUCACAACGAUUAUCCUCAAACACAACCUUAAAUUUAGCAUCACAUAACUGACUAAUACUCAAUAGAUUGGACUUAAGACCCUUAACAAAAAGAAGCUCAUGACUAUCGAGCGAUUCAACCUCAGAAAAGUUACCUUUACCUUCAACCGGAAGCAUUUUACCAUUACCAAACCUAACCUUACCUCCAUAACCAAGAGUCAGGUUAUCAAUCAGAGUCUUAUCACCUGUCAUAUGACGCGAACAACCGCUGUCAAGAUACCAUGAUGAAGGCAAUGGUUCAACCAAACGAGCCAUGUGAGACACCAUUUUCCUGGAUGCAUCCACACUCCUAUCCCAGAAAUGUGGUGGUGGAGUAGGCAUGGGUGUUGCUUGAGGACGGUUUCCAUAAGGAGAAGUUCUGGGUAAACCCCAUGGAGCAUAGCCAUUCCACAUGUAUGGAGCCUGCAUGGAGAAGGUGGAAGACUUGUUCCAAUAUGAGUUACCUGCAAAAGAAGGAUGAUGAGCAGGAUACAAAUUAUUCCAACAAAAGGCAGAAGUGUGACCCAUGCGACCACAUGUUAGACAUUUAAAGCCUUUGUGUCUAGAGUUCUUUUUCCGAACAUGCUUUACAUGAGUAACCUUGGGUGGUGAUACCACACUAGACACCUGCACAGGAGCAGGAAUAGCGACACUUGUUGGUCGCACAAAGGUAGUGCGGGAAGUGCUAGCAGUUGCAAGGGGAACAGAAGUGUCAUAACCUAAACCAGAUUUAUCUGAAUGGGAUUUACCGAUUCCCAACAGAGAGUUUAGAUUAGCACUUGCUUUACCAAACCCAACCAAUUGUUUGUUAGCAGCAAACAACUCAGCCUUUACUCUCUCAUGCUCCAGUACAAGGGAUCGAUACCGUGUUUCCAGAUCAUUAUUCAGUUUUUCUAGAGUGACAAUACGCACUUGGAAAUCCUCCUUUUCCUUCACAAAUUCUUCCUUCAACAUGUUGGAAUCACCUGUAAGAUUGCAUAUAUCCUGUCCAAGACUCUCUACCUGAUCCUGCAAGACAGUGUUAGUUUUUUCAAGCAACUUUACUUGUUGCAUAGAAAACUUAUACAUGUCACAUAAUUCACUAGUAGUAGCAUGAACACCAGAAUCAGAAACAUUAAUAUCAGCAGAAGAGGAUACAAUACCUCCUGGAUGUUCAUCCAGGGAUGCACUGAAGACCACAUAAUUGGAGACAACAUUUGAGAGAUUCCCAUCAUCAUCUUCAUCUGAAUCAUCCCAUGUUACUGUGAGAUUCGCUUUGGAAUUAUCACCAGGUUUGCGAUCCACCUUCUUGUCACAUUCAUUUGCAAAGUGUCCAUAAUCACGACACUUGUAACAUUGGACAUCUUUACGAUCAACUCGAGCUCUUCUCCCAUCCACAGAGAACCGCUCAAAACCACGACUUCUAGGAGCAUUUGAGGAAUCAGGAAAUCGCUUUCGAGGAUCUCGAUUCUGUUGAUAUUUCAGAAUCUUCUGAAAGCUACGUGACAGAAACGCAUAGUUAUCAUCCACAUCCUGUUCUUCAUCAUCAGAGGGUCCUGUGGAAGGUUCUUUAGACGA